rnacentral:rRNA from 1 species
UACGUAGGGACCAAGCGUUGUUCGGAUUUACUGGGCGUAAAGGGCGCGUAGGCGGCGCGACAAGUCACUUGUGAAAUCUCUGGCUUAACUCAGAACGGCCAAGUGAAACUGUUGUGCUAGAGUGCAGAAGGGCAAUCGGAAUUCUUGGUGUAGCGGUGAAAUGCGUAGAUAUCAAGAGGAACACCUGAGGUGAAGACGGGUUGCUGGGCUGACACUGACGCUGAGGCGCGAAAGCCAGGGGAGCAAACGGG